rnacentral:rRNA from 1 species
UACACUCCUACGGGAGGCAGCAGUAGGGAAUCUUCGGCAAUGGGGGCAACCCUGACCGAGCAACGCCGCGUGAGUGAAGAAGGUUUUCGGAUCGUAAAGCUCUGUUGUAAGUCAAGAACGAGUGUGAGAGUGGAAAGUUCACACUGUGACGGUAGCUUACCAGAAAGGGACGGCUAACUACGUGCCAGCAGCCGCGGUAAUACGUAGGUCCCGAGCGUUGUCCGGAUUUAUUGGGCGUAAAGCGAGCGCAGGCGGUUUGAUAAGUCUGAAGUUAAAGGCUGUGGCUCAUCCAUAGUUCGCUUUGGAAACUGUCAAACUUGAGUGCAGAAGGGGAGAGUGGAAUUCCAUGUGUAGCGGUGAAAUGCGUAGAUAUAUGGAGGAACACCGGUGGCGAAAGCGGCUCUCUGGUCUGUAACUGACGCUGAGGCUCGAAAGCGUGGGGAGCGAACAGGAUUAGAAACCCUGGUAGUCCCAU